AUUGAACGCUGGCGGCAGGCUUAACACAUGCAAGUCGAGCGAGCGGCGGACGGGUGAGUAAUGUCUGGGAAACUGCCUGACGGAGGGGGAUAACUACUGGAACCGGUAGCUAAUACCGCAUACCAUCAGAUGUGCCCAGAUGGGAUUAGCUAGUAGGUGGGGUAAUGGCUCACCUAGGCGACGAUCCCUAGCUGGUCUGAGAGGAUGACCGUCCACACUGGAACUGAGACACGGUCCAGACUCCUACGGGAGGCAGCAGUGGGGAAUAUUGCGCAAUGGGCGCAAGUCGUAUGCAGCCAUGCCGCGUGUGUGAAGAAGGCCUUCGGGUUGUAAAGCACUUUCAGCGAGGAGGCGUUACUCACAGAGAAAGCACCGGCUAACUCCGUGCCAGCAGCCGCGGUAAUAC
rnacentral:rRNA from 1 species